UAGGAGUUGGAGAUAAGAUGUUAAUUGGUGCAGAUUCAAGAAAGAAGGAGAAGAAUGGAACCAGAAGUGUUUCAUUUUAAAAUAGAACAGAAGAUCGAAAAGAUUACUUACUAAUGGAUGUAAUUCCUGACACUUAGCUGGAGAAAAAUUGCUUUAUUGGGCCAGAUAAACUUGCCAGUGCAAUGCAAUGAAACAGAUCAUAUUCUAGUUUCAUGGGACAUAGGUCCAUUCAUCUAUAUCUCUUCAGGCAUGAUUCAGGGCAUCCUAGGACUUCAUAGAUUAGAGUUCCAGGACUAUCUAGUAGCUGUAACAGUCACUGCGAAGGUCCGUGGCUCCAUUCUUCAAGUCAGUGAGACCACGAACCCACAGGAAGGAACCAACUCUGGACACACCUUGGUGGAUUGUCCAGGAGUUUGCCAUGCA
rnacentral:lncRNA from 10 species